UGAAGCAAGAAAUGCUGACUCAUGCUGAGUUGGCAUGACAUUAAUGUAUUAUUCAGAAAUUCAAUUGAUUUUAAAAAAUUGAAAGGUUAUUGGCCAAGAGGGCCAAGUACUUGCAUCCUCUAAACACAUUCUCCCCAUAUAAGCAAACUAUAAGCACAGCAAAAUUAUUAUCCAAAUGUUGCCUUGUACAUGUGGAACUGGGAUGGGAUGACCAGUUUUAUGAUUUAGAUAUUUGGUGACAUCAAACUUUCAGAGGAAAAUUCCUGCAUCUUCUAAGCCUGGCCACCUUCUUUCUAGAACAAGGUUCAGGAUUAGAGGCCUUCUAAAAAGAGUUGCUUCGGAGCUCACUGUCUUUCAGCCAUGGGAGAAUAUAGCAGGAAGGAAGCAGUCUUCAAGCAAAGAAAAGUGCCCGUGAAAGAAGAGCUGAACCCUGCUAGAAUAUUGAUCUUGGACUUUCCAGCCUCCAGAACUGUGA
rnacentral:lncRNA from 1 species